rnacentral:lncRNA from 1 species
UUAUCUUAGCUAUCUUAGGUGUCAUACUAUUCCAUUCAGGUGAAAUUGUUGUAGACAGAGAUGCAAAAUCUUAUUCGUUAUGUUUUUGGGGGUUGUUUGCUUGUUUGUUUUGAGAUAGAGUCUCACUCUGUAGUUCAGGCUGGCCUUGAACUCACUACGUAGCCCUGGCUAUCCUCAAACUUGCCACGAUCCUCCUGCCUCAGCCUCCCGAGUGCUGGGACUACAGGCGUGUGCCACCACGCCUGGCAAACCCCCAGGAUCUUGAAGAAACUAAAAACAGGCCAGCUGCAACACAGACUGAGAGCAAGCAUGAUGUGGGACAAGGUUGAGAAGUGAAAACAAAGAACGGUGAUGAAGGACCAAGGCUCUCCCACCCAUACUCAGAAAAAUAACGAUAAACAUGAUAGAAAAGAGAAAUCAACGAGAAGAGCGGCGAGGCGGAAAGGUCCAUCCGAUCCAUCCAAGCGUCCUCCUCAGCCGCAGCCAGGACGGACAAACUUCAGACCCAGGCCAGCGGCUCGCCAGGCCUGCGCUCAGGGCCACCCGGACGCGAGCGAGAGCAGAAGGGAGCGUAGCCUUCCAGCCCCGCAGAGGGCGGGUGCCGGGCGGAGCCAGACCGCGAGGAUCAAGGAGGGGUGAGUCACGGAGAGGAAGAGGAAGCAGCGCUCGGUGGGGACCGGAGGAGAAACGGGGCCUAGCUGAGAGAGGGCGGCCCUUCGAGGCCCUUUCUUUCCAAACCGGAGAGACCGGGGUUUCUGAGAAGGAGACCAGAGAGCCAGGACAAAGGAGCCACUUAGAAUGUGAAUGAGAAAGUACUCACGUGACCAACGCCCGGAGCGGCUGGUGGAGCCCCCAGCAGUGCCAAGUUUGAGCCCAGCGUGGGCAACUGGGUCUUGCUAAAUAUAGUCCAGGCUCACCGUGGCUGCCUCACUGCUCACUGAAUGCUGGACUGCAGGCUUCACCACCACUCCCUGGUCUACACGAUUUUUAAUGUAUUGAUACAUUUAAUUCUCACCAUCAUCUUAUAUGUGGGGCCCAAAGUAACCUGGGCCAAUAUUUUAUUGGCCGGACAGCUCCAGACAUUAGAAGGAAGCUCCAAAAACUCCAACAGGCCCUCAGACAGGAGUGCAUCAACUGGUCAACUUGGCUUUCAUGGAGUUUAACAACGAGACGGAGAGGACAAAUGGGAAUUAAGUAAGGAAGACAGACUAAAGACAUGCUGGUCCUCACGCAUCAGGUCCAUAACAAAGUCCACAGCACCAAGGGGAUCCGGGGUAACCUACAAAGUGACAGAGGGAAGUCUGGGUACUUUAUGUGCAAGCAGUUGGGACACUGGGCUAAAGAGUGACCUCAAAAGCCCAAGUUCAUCAGAAUAGAGGUGAGGGAGGCUGAGGCAUGAGGAUCACCAUGAGUUAGUCUGAGGGCAGGCUGGGCUACAUAAUGAGACCCUGUCUCAAAAAAAAAAAAAAAAAAUGGGUGAGGACCCUUGGCACUGGAGGAGGGGCUGCCCUGGUUCCCAGAAGGGGUCAAGGUCAUCCACCACCAUGGCAGCCAGGGAAGAACGCCCAGAAUUCAGUGUGCAAGGACAUCCCCAUGACCUUGGAAGACUCUUGGGCAACUCUGGGCAUCACAGGGAUACAAGGGCCUCUUACUCUAUCCCAACCUCCCAUGGGACAAAUUGUCAUCCCAUUCCUCAGCUGUGUGGGCCUUGAAGGAGGUAACUAGUCAGUUUUCCCUACAACCCCCAACUGCUGGUUGGGGGGAUUUCCUAUCCAAAUCGCCUUCAUGCUAAUACCAGCAUGCCCCGCACCAGUCACUGGAAGAUCUGUUCCUCCUGUUCGAGGCCACCUUGUCAUUCAAACCUCUGGCAACUCAUGUCAUACUUGCCAGGAACCCAGCCAACCUGGCCCUGUCGAGCCCAGUUCCUUUGCCAGGAGUUGAUCCCGAAACUUGGCAUGAUGGCACCCUGGGGUGGGUGAUCGAUCACUCAGCUCAAGGAUGCUAACCUAUACCCUCAUAAAAAGGCAACACCCCCUCCAAAGAGAGGCUCCACCAGGCUAGAGCCCAUUAUUGAUAAAUUUUUGGCUGCAGGAUGGCUAUAGCCACUCCAGGCCCUGUGUAACACACCUAUCUUAACAGUGGUCAAAACACUAGGCGAACAUCGCCUAGUGCAAGAUCUCAGUCAUCAGUGAGGCCUGGUGCCUACUUCCACCCCGGGGGCACAGCCCACACACAGCAGGGAUCCUGGGAGAUACCAGCUGGGUCCAUCCUUCAUUCCAAAGAAGCUUCCUUUUCUAUCCCCUUGGGCCCUAGCUCCCAGUACUUGUUUGCCUUCUAACUGAGGAUCCCCAAAAUCGGCCCCACUAGCAGUCCUGCUAGACUGUCUUGCCUUAGGGUUUAGAGACAGCACUCCUUUCCCACACCCUGGAAAGCUAAACGUGGACAAAGGAGGCCUAGUACAAGCCUCUCAGAACCUUUGGCAUUCCUAGAGCAACAACAGUGUCUUGUUAUUCAUACAGAGCCCUUCCAGGAACUCGGGGUUCAGACUACAGAGGUAACUUAGGUGCAGAACUCACACAGCCUUGGGCUAGGGUAGGUCCUCCAGAGGGACCAAAGGAUUUCUGGGUUGGGAUUUUCACCCCAACCCAGGGCCCCCAGAGACGGAAGGUGGAUACCUUGCCCUAAGUAUCUGUUCAUCUGUUCAGCCACCUGCAUCCUUUAUGAUGUCAGACUUUAAUCUUAAUAGCAGUAUAGGAUUUGUUUUAGUGAUUUUUAAUAGCAUUCCUGAUCAUUCAAUAAAGAGAAAUGAAAGUGAAAAAAAAUUUUUUAUAAACUUUUUAUCUUUAGAUAAUUAGAAUAAAGAAAUGCAAGAUAGCCAGGGAUUUAGCUCAGUGGUUUCGGCGCCUGCCUCACAAGUCCAAGGUCCCAAGUUCGAUCCCCGGUACCGAAAAAAAAAGAAAAGAAAAGAAAUGCAAGAUAAAUGCUUUCUAAACAACAUCUGGAUAGUAUCUUUUCUGUGACAUGUAUUUUCACUUUUCUUUAUAAAAAGUAUAGACAUAGGGCUGGGGAUUUAGCUCGGUGGUUUCGCCGCCUGCUGUGCAAGCGCAAGGGCCUGAAUUCGAUGCCCAGUACCAAAAAAAAAAAA